AAGCUUAUAAUGACAAAAACAAUUAUCUUAGAGGAUCUGAGUGUGGUUUAUUGUACCUGAAUAAUCUGAAUUUGUUACACUAAGGUUU